rnacentral:rRNA from 1 species
AACGAACGCUGGCGGCGUGCCUAACACAUGCAAGUCGAGCGAUCUCGGGGCAACUCGAGAUAGCGGCGCACGGGUGAGUAACACGUGGGUAAUUUGCCCUCAAGAUUGGGAUAACCUGCCGAAAGGCGGGCUAAUACCGGAUAUGACCACAUCCGCCUCGGCGGAAGAGGUAAAAGGAUGGCCUCUAUUUAUAAGCUAUCGCUUGGGGAUGAGCCCGCGGCCCAUCAGCUAGUUGGUAAGGUAACGGCUUACCAAGGCUAUGACGGGUAGCUGGACUGAGAGGACGACCAGCCACACUGGAACUGAGAUACGGUCCAGACUCCUACGGGAGGCAGCAGUGGGGAAUAUUGCGCAAUGGGGGAAACCCUGACGCAGCAACGCCGCGUGGGUGAUGAAGGCUUUCGGGUCGUAAAGCCCUGUCAGCGGGGAAGAAACUCCGGGACGCGAACAGUGUCUCGGAUUGACGGUACCCGCGGAGGAAGCACCGGCUAACUCCGUGCCAGCCGCCGCGGUAA